rnacentral:rRNA from 1 species
GACGAACGCUGGCGGCGUGCUUAACACAUGCAAGUCGAGCGAGAAAGCACCUUCGGGUGUGAGUACAGCGGCGAACGGGUGAGUAACACGUGGGCAACCUGCCCUAGAGACUGGGAUAACGUCCCGAAAGGGACGCUAAUACCGGAUGACGCGCGAUCUGCCAAGUAGGUCGCGCCAAAUGGUAGCUUCGGCUUCUGCUCUGGGAUGGGCCCGCGCCGGAUUAGCUUGUUGGUGAGGUAACGGCUCACCAAGGCGACGAUCCGUAGCUGGUCGGAGAGGACGAUCAGCCACACUGGGACUGAGACACGGCCCAGACUCCUACGGGAGGCAGCAGUGGGGAAUCUUGCGCAAUGGGCGAAAGCCUGACGCAGCAACGCCGCGUGAGCGAAGACGGCCUUCGGGUUGUAAAGCUCUGUCAGGAGGGACGAAGCCACUCAGGUGAAUAGCCGAGAGGGUGACGGUACCUCCAGAGGAAGCCCCGGCUAACUACGUGCCAGCCGCCGCGGUAACAC